UGUCUGUCAAAGAGAAAUUGUUCUAUAUAUCAUGGUAUAUUCAUAUAAUAGACAAUCAUGGAUCCAUAGAAUGUUAUAGAAAAUCAUUUAAUGGCAUGGAAAAAUGUACCUUAUAUUUUAUUAAGUAAAAAUAACAAGUUAAAAAAUUGCACUCAUAGUAUGGUUAUAUCUUCAUUAUUAAAACUUAAGAUAAAUAUCCUAUGUGUCUGUAAGUCCUAAAUAGAGACAGUCAUGUUUCUUUUACUUUUCUAGUUUAAUAAUCUGAAUCUCAAUCCCUCUAAUCAGAAAGUUCAGUAUCACACUUUUGAAAAGCUACAUCCUCUCCCUACUCCUAUAUUUUGACCUUCCACUUUCUCCAACCAGCAAAAUGUUUCCAAGAACCCAGAAGAUUAUUUACUUCUAAAGGAACUUGCUUCCCAGUGCCAGUCUGAAAGAUUACUAGAAAGCACAAUGACUCCACUACUGCUUUUGACUUUUCUCUGCUGUAAAAUGUUGCUGUUGAAGAACAGUUUUGUCACUGUCUACUCUCAGUGAUGCCCAGGCCAGUUAAGGUCCUUGUAUAGAGCAGAGGGGCCUCCAAGUAGAGUUGAUUGCAACUGAUAGAGCACAAAUUAAAAAGCAAGAGAUUGACAAAUUUUAAAAAAUCAAUACUCGACUAUAUGCUUGCCUAUAAGAAACCUGCUUUAAGUGUAAGACACAGAAAGCUAAAAGUGAAAAAAAUGGAAAACUUAUACUGUAUAUGAUUCCAACUAUGUGACAUUCUGGAUAAGGCAAAACUAUGGAGACAGGGAAAAGAUAAAUGGUCACCAGGGAUUGGAGAGGGGAGGAAUGAGUGGGUGGAACAUAGAUAAUUUUUAGGGCAGUGAAAAUAGUCUGUGUGAUACCAUAAUGGAAAUAUGUCGUGUACAUUUGUCCAAACCCAUAGAAUAGACAAUACCAAGAGUGAACUGUAAUGUAAAUUAUGGAUUUUAGAUGAUUAUAAUGUGUUAAUGUAAGUUCAUUAAUUGUAACAAAUGUCCACUUUGUUGGGAAUGUUGAUAAUGGGGUAGCUUAUGCAUAUGUGGGGUCAGAGGAAGCAAAUGGAUAUCUUU